CCGUCGACCCGAAAACUACCGCCCCGCGGCGCCCGACCGGACCCACCUGUGGGCGCGAGCCCCAGCCGCCUCGCUGGGCGCUGCCUUCCCCCCGGCUCCUCCAGCAACUUUCAAGGGUCCCCCUGCAGUCUGGGCGCUGCUGUGAGCCAGGCCCGAGCUAGAAGCGGGGACCCCGGGAGCAUCGCAAACCUCGAGGGGAGUGCUUUCCACCGGAGAGACGGACGCUCGUCGCAGAAACACAUGACAUAAUUGUAUAGUUAAGGAGCUUUCGAGGGGGGCCAGCCUUGGCCUGCAGAACCUGCAGGAAUUCACCAGGGGUGGAGAGAACAUUCUACGUGAGAGACUCCAGGGAGCUGGGAGUGAAAGGAGGCGAGGAAAGCUGGAGCCCGAAGGGUGGGAGAACACAGACAGUCCCCUCCUGGGCAUUCACCUUUAAGAAACCCGCCCAGGCGCAGCCAGAGACCUGUGCCUAAUGUUCACACCGCGCUGUUCCGAAUAACAGGAGCAUUGGAAACACCCCCAAAUGCCCCUCCAUGGGCGAGUGGGCAAAUAAACUGGAAUAUUCACACCAUGAAACGUUAGACAGCAGUGAAACGGAAUGAACUUCAGCCAGAUAACAACAGAAGCAAUGCCUCAGAAGCAACGUUGAGUGACAAAACUAAGUUGCAGAAAACUGAAUACAACGGUGCAACUUUUAGAAUGUGUAAAAGCAAAACCAAAAGUGUGUGUAUUUAGACGCAUGCACCGGUGGAAAGAAAUUUAAAGCAAGGGAAAAAUGAGCAUAGGUACUGGAGAAGAGUGGUUAUCUCACGUGAAUGGGAAGGAGCUGGGAGGAGGAUGGAGUCUAGGUUUCCUCCUCUUGGACCUGCGCUGGCCUGAGUGACUCAUUGGAGUGAUAGAGCAUGAUGGGAGCAAGCUUCCUGGAUUUCCGAGCCUUGGUUAUUAAGAAGCUUUGUGGUGUCCUUUAGGGCCUCUUCAACAUUCUCUCUGGGAACCCAAGCUUCUAGAAGAGACCACCAUGCUAAGAGAGUCCACAUAUGGCCAUUCCAGUUGGCAGUCCCGCUGAGCCCAGGCUUCCACCAUCCCUACCAAGACAGCAAUCAUGUUAGUGAAGCUGUGGUGGGCCAUCCAGCCCAGCUGCCCACUGAAAACCAGGCUUCGGUCAAUGCCAUGUGGGACAGAAGAAUUACCCAAGUCUUUUGUGUCAGGCCUCUGAGCCCAAGUUAAGCCAUCAUAUCCCCUGUGACCUGCACAUAUACACCCAGAUGGCCUGAAGCAACUGAAGAUCCACAAAAGAAGUGAAAAUAACCUUAACUGAUGACAUUCCACCAUUGUGAUUUGUUUCUGCCCCACCCUAACUGAUCAACGUACUUUAUAAUCUCCCCCACCCUUAAGAAGAUUCUUUGUAAUCUCCCCCACCCUUAAGAAGAUUCUUUGUAAUCCCCCCCACCCUUAAGAAGGUUCUUUGUAAUCUCCCCCACCCUUAAGAAGGUUCUUUGUAAUUCUCCCCACCCUUGAGAAUGUACUUUGUGAGAUCCACCCCCUGCCCCCAAAACAUUGCUCUUAACCCCACCACCUAUCCCAAAACCUGUAAGAACUAAUGAUAAUCCCACCACCCUUCGCUGACUCUCUUUUCGGACUCAGCCGGCCUGCACCCAAGUGAAAUAAACAGUCUUGUUGCUCACACAAA
ensembl:lncRNA